rnacentral:misc_RNA from 1 species
UACGGACCGGACGAACGUUAUUCGGAAUCACUGGGCUUAAAGGGUGCGUAGGCGGCCACUUAAGUAGGGUGUGAAAUCCCCCGGCUUAACCGGGGAACUGCGCUCUAAACUGGGUGGCUUGAGUACGAUAGGGGUGUGCGGAACUUCCAGUGGAGCGGUGAAAUGUGUUGAUAUUGGAAGGAACACCGGUGGCGAAAGCGGCACACUGGGUCGUAACUGACGCUGAGGCACGAAAGCCAGGGGAGCGAACGGG